rnacentral:rRNA from 1 species
UACGUAGGGGGCGAGCGUUGUCCGGAUUCAUUGGGCGUAAAGAGCUCGUAGGCGGUUCAGUAAGUCGGGUGUGAAAUCUCCGUGCUCAACACGGAGCGGCCACCUGAUACUGCUGUGACUCGAGUCCGGUAGGGGAGUGUGGAAUUCCCGGUGUAGCGGUGAAAUGCGUAGAGACCCGGAGGAACACCAGUGGCGAAGGCGGCUUCCUGGUCUGCAACUGACGCUGUGGCGCGAAAGCUAGGGGAGCAAACGGG